rnacentral:rRNA from 1 species
AAUAUUGGACAAUGGGGGGAACCCUGAUCCAGCCAUGCAGCGUGUGUGAAGAAGGACUUCGGUUUGUAAAGCACUUUAAGUUGGGCGGAAGAGUUGUAGGCGAAUACCUUGCAAGGUUGACGUUACCAACAGAAUAAGCACCGGCUAACUUCGUGCCAGCAGCCGCGGUAAUACGAAGGGUGCAAGCGUUAAUCGGAAUUAGUGGGCGUAAAGCGCGCGUAGGUGGUUCGUUAAGUUGGAAGUGAAAGCCCCGGGCUUAACCUGGGAAUUGCUUUCAAAACUGACGAGCUAGAGUACGGUAGAGGGUAGUGGAAUUUCCUGUGUAGCGGUGAAAUGCGUAGAUAUAGGAAGGAACAACAGUGGCGAAGGCGACUACCUGGACUGAUACUGACACUGAGGUGCGAAAGCGUGGGGAGCAAACAGG